rnacentral:rRNA from 1 species
CGGACGGGUGAGUAACACGUGGGCAAUCUACCUUUCGGUGAGGAAUACCGGCGAGAAAUCGCCGACAAUACCGCAUACGCUCGGGUAACCGAGCAAAGUCGCAAGACGCCGGAGGAGGAGCCUGCGCCCGAUUAGCUAGUUGGUGGAGUAAUGGUCUACCAAGGCGACGAUCGGUAGCUGGUCUGAGAGGAUGAUCAGCCACACUGGGAUUGAGAAACGGCCCAG